GUUUUUCACACGGAAUGUUUUGAGCGUUGCACCAGCAAGCUGUCAAGUCAACAGAAGUAGCUCCUAGCUCACCUGUGAGGGCUUCUCUGCAGGUCUGCAGGAUGGCUCAGACAGACAGCAAGGUGCUGGUCCUGGGAGCACUGGCCGGAGUGGCUGGCAUCGGCCUGGCUGUUGUGUGUUACCGUAGUUUAAGGUCUGAGCGAAGACUCUCCUGGCCAGGGUUUUAUCAUAACCGUACCAAUGAACAGGGAUCCGGGCUCAUGUUGGUAGACUGUCCAGGACUUCCCAGGGGUCAGGCAGAGGUCUUGGAGCGCCUAGAGGCCCUGAUCCAGUGUGUAUCUGAACUGAAAGAAGAGAUGAAGGCGUUGAAGAUGGCUCUGCCUGCUCUGCCGGACCAAGUCAGGGAGGAACUGAAGGGGCACAGCGAGGCGCGUCGAGUUGGUGCUCCUCACAGGACCGCAGCUACGAGGAGGAGAAGAGCAGCAGGUGCCGUAUCACCUGCAGGGGGACAGAGCUCAGAGGAUGCGGAGAGCGAGGGAGGGUACAUGACUGCUCUGACAGACUCUGACGAAGAAGAUCAAAGUGAGGAAGAGGAAACAGCUGAGGAGCAAACGGCGGAAAAGUUAUCCGUCCUCUUCGAACGAAUCGACCGCUUGCGUCAGGGUGACGAGUCGGACAAAAGGGAAACCCUGAAUAUCCUUUUGGAGCAAAAAGAGGAGUUUGGACAGAGCUCAGAGUUUCUGUGGCGGCUAACCCGAGCUCACUGUGACGUUCAUGACAUCAGCGUCACUCAGGAGGAGAAAAAGACCCAUGCCGAAAAUGGUAAAAAAGUUGGUGAAGAGGCCAUAAGAGUCAAUCCCAGGUGUGCUGAAAGUCAUCAGUGGUACGCCAUCAUGUGUGGAAUCAUGGCAGAGUAUGAUACAAUCCAAAACAAGAUAAAGAACGGUUAUAUCUUUAAGGAUCAUCUGGAUAAAGCCAUCGAGCUGAAGCCGCAGGACCCCCUGUCUUACUACCUGCUUGGCCGCUGGUGCUACGCCGUUGCUCAGUUGUCUUGGAUUGAGAGGAAGGUUGCAACAACGCUAUUUGGAGAACCUCCAAGUGCCACGAUUGAAGAUGCAAUGAGGAAUUUUCUGAAGGUUGAAGAGAUUCAUCCCGCCUACUCAAAGCUGAACUAUGUGUUCCUGGCUAAGUGUUACAAAGCAUUGGGGGACAAUUAUAAGGCCAGGAAGAUGUGUGAAGCAGCAUCUUCCAUGAACACCGUAUCCAAAGAGUAGGAAACAAGAUUAGAGAGAGGGGGAAGAUGAGGCAAAGUUCACCAGGCUGAUACUCCAACAUGUGACGGCCGUGUUGAGGAUGAAGAAGCACAAAAAGAGCUGGAUUUACUCUGCCAAAAACUCUGACUGAGAAGACCUGAGGAAUCAUCCUGAAGCUGCGCUGUAGUUGCUCCUGAUGUAGAUCAAAUACCAGAGGAAAGUGGCUGAAAAUAUCUGUUUGAUUCACUCUGUGAGUGUAACCAUGAUGUUCAAUCAAUAGUGGGACCACAAGGCACCGUCCUUCUCCAUUUUUUUUGUUUUCUUUUCUUUUUUAAACUGAUGUUUUAAUAUCUCAACGGUUAGGUUUUGGUUUCUUAUGAAAUUAUAAGUUUGUUUCUGUCAGAUUUAGCUAUUUGUUGAUUUACAUGUGCUGUGAAGAUCUACUGUACGUUUGUUUUUAUAGGGUUUUUGUUUUGUACUUGCUCCAGACUUUAUACCAUCGGUCACUUCGAUGAUUCAUAAACUAGUGGCGUGGCAGAUCUGGUUGUGAAGAACAGGCAUGAAAUUAAUUUUAGUUUCCAACUGAAAUGAGAGCGAUGGGUCAUAUUCCAAAGUAACUCACAGUGAGAGACAGUUCAGUCUGUGAGCCAAAUUCUACCGUUUACAGGCAGAACAAGUUUUUUUUUUUACAAGAAACAGGAAUGAAUCUGAAAGCUCCCCUUGGACUUGCUUCGACAGACUGCAGAUGUGGUUAUUCCCAUCACUGGAGUCGGUAGUGAGCAGAAACAAUUAUGAAAUAAAAGAAAUAACCUUUCUCACAUUAAAAAGUCAUCCAUAACAAGGUCUUACAGUAAACCAGGGAGAUGCUGAUUCAGUUUUAUUAAGUAAAGUUUGCAAUGCUGUGCCAAAUUUGGGGCACUUUUUAACGCAUCAUUCAGUCUGGAUUAUCCUCACCACUGUAGUUCACGUUGGAAAACCUGCUCUGGUAUUCCCAAACACUUUUUUUGUUGUUUUUAUAAUCCGAAAGUAGUGAAGUUCUGUUUGAUAGUAGCUCUGACUGAAUUUAUGGGUUUGGUUUAUGUUGACAGAUAAGAUGUUCACACUAAAUCAGACACUUUUUAUAGAAUAAAAAACAAAGACGACCUUCUUUAUGCUAUUUAAAGUUGUUCCUGUCUGUGUGACUUUGACGUAUUUUUCGGACUGAGCAUGAAAGCAUAAGGAAAGGUUACGGUAAAUAUUGGAUUAUAGCAGACUUCGUGUAUCUGUUUUUCUCUAAUGUGUUUAGGUUUCCGGCCUUUAACCUCCCUGAUUUCUUUAGGGUCAGAAACUUAAACCUCCGACAGCUCUGGGUGCAGUGAUGUCAUAACUGCGCACCUUUUUAACCUCAGUCGACCAUGAAUUUUAAUUCUGAAACUGCACACAUGAGUAACAGUGAACUCUCCCAUGUUCUUUAGCCUCUGAGAAAGUGAAAUUACUUGAUCAGUGUGGAGGAGGUGAUGAGGAACGGGAAAAAUAUCCCGCAGGAUUUGUUGGAAAAUGCAGCUGUGAAUCAUCUGGGCUCUGAUUUACAUAUUUCUCCCUGAAGCAAACCUGAAUGUCAGACUUUCUACACUUUAUUGCUCUGAUAUGUUUAUUUUUUUUAUGUUCUACAUCAAUGUUAAGAUGUUUUAUUAUUUUUAUUUCUUAAACAUGUAAAGACGAAUCUCAUUACACUUCAUUUAUAUGUAUAAAGUUUGAAACGAUGCUGAUUUAAAAGUUAUUUAAGCUGUAAUCUAAUGAUAAUGUAAAGAAACAUGUAACCAAACUUUGAUCAUCAGGGUUUUUUGUUGUGAUGAAAAAAAAAUCUGUAUAUUGCUUUGUUGUUUUUGUUCAUUUGAAUGUAUCUUAGCUACUGUUGAUUGACUACAUUUGAAUGCCUCAUCUUUAUCCUGUUUCUUUACAUUCCUCAAUGUUGUCUUUAUCUAUUGGCACCUAAUGAAAACAUGCAGAAUGGAUUUUAUCAAGAAGAACAUUGAUUUUCAGUUUGAUGAACCAUUACUGUGUGGAUUUAACCCAGACGUCUUCCACAAGGGCGUCUAAAGAUUUUGAUUUAAGAUGACAGUGGCACAAAUGUUUUUACCAAAAGAUGAAAAAUAAAAAAUACAAUUUUUUUA